rnacentral:rRNA from 1 species
GCUAAGAAUAUUCCGCAAUGGACGAAAGUCUGACGGAGCGACGCCGCGUGGAUGACGAAGGCCGAAAGGUUGUAAAGUCCUUUUGUCGAUGAAGAAUAAGGGUAGGAGGGAAUGCCUGCCUGAUGACGUUAGUCGGCGAAUAAGCCCCGGCUAAUUACGUGCCAGCAGCCGCGGUAACACGUAAGGGGCAAGCGUUGUUCGGAAUUAUUGGGCGUAAAGGGUACGUAGGCGGUUUGGUAAGCCCGGCGUGAAAUCCUGCAGCUUAACUGUAGGGCUGCGCUGGGAACUGCGAAACUUGAGUCAUGGAAGGGGAGUUAGAAUUCCAGGUGUAGGGGUGAAAUCUGUAGAUAUCUGGAAGAAUACCGGUGGCGAAGGCGAACUCCUGGCCAAUGACUGACGCUGAGGUACGAAAGUGCGGGGAGCAAACAGGAUUAGAUACCCGGGUAGUCC